GAAAUGUUGACCUCGGAUCAGGUAGGAAUACCCGCUGAACUUAAGCAUAUCAAUAAGCGGAGGAAAAGAAACCAACAGGGAUUGCCCCAGUAACGGCGAGUGAAGCGGCAACAGCUCAAAUUUGAAAUCUGGUCCCUAGGGCCCGAGUUGUAAUUUGUAGAGGAUGCUUUUGGUGAGGUGCCGCCCGAGUUCCCUGGAACGGGACGCCACAGAGGGUGAGAGCCCCGUCUGGCUGGCCGCCGAGCCUCUGUAAAGCUCCUUCGACGAGUCGAGUAGUUUGGGAAUGCUGCUCAAAAUGGGAGGUAUAUGUCUUCUAAAGCUAAAUAUUGGCCAGAGACCGAUAGCGCACAAGUAGAGUGAUCGAAAGAUGAAAAGCACCUUGAAAAGAGGGUUAAAUAGUACGUGAAAUUGUUGAAAGGGAAGCGCUUGUGACCAGACUUGGGCGCGGCGGAUCAUCCGGGGUUCUCUCCGGUGCACUUCGCCGCGUCUAGGCCAGCAUCAGUUCGUCGCGGGGGAAAAAGGCUUCGGGAACGUGGCUCCUCCGGGAGUGUUAUAGCCCGUUGCAUAAUACCCUGCGGUGGACUGAGGACCGCGCAUCUGCAAGGAUGCUGGCGUAAUGGUCACCAGCGACCCGUCUUGAAACACGGACCAAGGAGUCGUCUUCGUAUGCGAGUGUUCGGGUGUCAAACCCCUACGCGUAAUGAAAGUGAACGCAGGUGAGAGCUUCGGCGCAUCAUCGACCGAUCCUGAUGUUCUCGGAUGGAUUUGAGUAAGAGCAUACGGGGCCGGACCCGAAAGAAGGUGAACUAUGCCUGUAUAGGGUGAAGCCAGAGGAAACUCUGGUGGAGGCUCGCAGCGGUUCUGACGUGCAAAUCGAUCGUCAAAUAUGGGCAUGGGGGCGAAAGACUAAUCGAAC
rnacentral:rRNA from 1 species